CCUACGGGUGGCAGCAGUGAGGAAUAUUGGUCAAUGGACGAGAGUCUGAACCAGCCAAGUAGCGUGAAGGAUGACUGCCCUAUGGGUUGUAAACUUCUUUUAUAUGGGAAUAAAAUGUUCCACGUGUGGGAUUUUGUAUGUACCAUAUGAAUAAGGAUCGGCUAACUCCGUGCCAGCAGCCGCGGUAAUACGGAGGAUCCGAGCGUUAUCCGGAUUUAUUGGGUUUAAAGGGAGCGUAGGGGGAUUGUUAAGUCAGUUGUGAAAGUUUGCGGCUCAACCGGAAAAUUGCAGUUGAAACUGGCAGUCUUGAGUACAGGAGAGGUGGGCGGAAUGCGUGGGGUAGCGGUGAAAUGCUUAGAUAUCACGAAGAACUCCGAUUGCGAAGGCAGUUCACUGGACUGCAACUGACACUGAGGCUCGAAAGUGUGGGUAUCAAACAGGAUUAGAUACCCUUGUAGUC
rnacentral:rRNA from 1 species